AUACGAAGGGUGCAAGCGUUGUUCGGAUUUACUGGGCGUAAAGCGUCCGUAGGUGGUUUGUUAAGUCAGGGGUGAAAUCCCAGGGCCCAACCCUAGAACUGCCUUUGAUACUGGCAAGCUGGAGCGCGAUAGAGGAAGAUGGAAUAUCUGGUGUAGGGGUGAAAUCCGUAGAUAUCACUCAGAACACCGAUUGCGAAGGCGUCUGACGAAUCCGUCACUGACGCUGAGGCACGAAAGCGUGGGGAUAGAACAGGAUUAGAUACCCUGGUAUUCCGCGCCGUAAACGAUGAUGACUAACCGUCGGCGAUAGACAGCCGGUGGCCAAGCGAAAGCGAUAAGUCAUCCACCUGGGGAGUACGUCGGCAACGAUGAAACUCAAAGGAAUUGACGGGG
rnacentral:rRNA from 1 species